AUUGUUGUAAUAAAAAUUAUGUCUUUCCUGCCAUAUUAUAUAUUUAGGAAAA
rnacentral:sRNA from 1 species